ensembl:snoRNA
AAGCCAGCUAAUUAAUUGGUCUGCUUAUCUGAAUGUGUUUCUGCAGAAAUGUAGAGAGCUGGCAAUAGUGAUGCCAUGUUAACGAGCCUUAAGGACAGUUGAGGUCAUUAAGGUCCUUGAAAAUGGCUACAAUA